rnacentral:rRNA from 1 species
AGAGUUUGAUCAUGGCUCAGAAUCAACGCUGGCGGCGUGCCUAACACAUGCAAGUCGAACGCGAAAGUGGAGCAAUCCAUGAGUAGAGUGGCAAACGGGUGAGUAACACGUGGGUGACCUGCCUUCGAGCGGGGGAUAACGUCCCGAAAGGGACGCUAAUACCGCAUAACAUCCUGCCUUUUAAGAGGUGGAGAUCAAAGCCGGGGAUCGCAAGACCUGGCACUUGAAGAGGGGCCCGCGCCUGAUUAGCUAGUUGGUGGGGUAAUGGCUCACCAAGGCAACGAUCAGUAUCCGGCCUGAGAGGGCGGACGGACACACUGGGACUGAGACACGGCCCAGACUCCUACGGGAGGCAGCAGUGGGGAAUUGUUCGCAAUGGGCGCAAGCCUGACGACGCAACGCCGCGUGGAGGAUGAAGACCUUCGGGUCGUAAACUCCUUUCGAUCGAGACGAAUGGUUUCCGGGUGAACAAUCCGGAGAAAUGACGGUACCGAGAGAAGAAGCCCCGGCUAACUCCGUGCCAGCAGCCGCGGUA